GUUCCUUAGAUCGUACCCACAUUACUNGGAUAACNGNGGUAAUNCUAGAGCUAAUACANGNAAACAGAGUCCCGACCAGAAANNGAAGGGACGCUUUUAUUAGAUCAAAACCAAUCGGUCGGCUCGUCCGGUCCGUUNGCCUUNGUGACUCUGAAUAACUUUGGGCUGAUCGCACGGUCUUAGUACCGGCGACGCAUCUUUCAAAUGUCUGCCUUAUCAACUGUCGAUGGUAGGUUCUGCGCCUACCAUGGUUGUAACGGGUAACGGGGAAUCAGGGUUCGAUUCCGGAGAGGGAGCCUGAGAAACGGCUACCACAUCCAAGGAAGGCAGCAGGCGCGCAAAUUACCCACUCCCGGCACGGGGAGGUAGUGACGAAAAAUAACGAUACGGGACUCAUCCGAGGCCCCGUAAUCGGAAUGAGUACACUUUAAAUCCUUUAACGAGUAUCCAU
rnacentral:rRNA from 1 species